rnacentral:lncRNA from 1 species
CAAGAGACACUCUCUAAGAACAAAACUUUAACACAUCAUCAGACCAGAAAGGAACUCGGCAAACAACCUUUCCAACUGUUUAACAAAAACAUAGCCAUUAGCCACCCAAGUAUUAAAGGUACUGCCUGCCCAGUGAGGAACCCCUUAAACGGCCGCGAUAAUUCGUGCGAAGGUAGCGCAAUCACUUGUCCUUUAAAUAAGGACCUGUAUGAAUGGCCACAUGAGAAAGAAACUGUCUCUUUAGGCCAGUCAGUGAAAUUGAUCCCCCUGUACAAAAGCAGGAAUGACAAAGCAAGACAAAAAGACCCUGUGAAACUUAAAAUUAAUUGUCAACCUAUGACAGACACUUUUAGUUGGGGCAACUAUAGAGAAACAAAACCUCAAACCACAUCAUCAAGACCAACAAGUCUAAAUGAAUAUACCACACCGACCCAGUACAACUGAUUAAAGAACCAAGCUACUCCAGGGAUAACAGCGCCACAUUCUUGAAGAGUCCAUAUCAACAAGAAUACCUACGACCUCGAUGUUGGAUCAGGAUAACCUGAUGGUGCAGAAGCUAUCAAGGGUUCGUUU